rnacentral:lncRNA from 1 species
UAACGAGAGCCUGGUGGGGGAGAGGGGUUGUCUACGCGUCCCGAGGGUGUCACUGAUCAGCUGCUGUUCUGAGUCCUGAUUUUCUUUUUCUUUCUUUCUUUCUUUCUUUAUUCCUUUCUUCCUUCCUUUCUUUCUUCUUUUCUUUCUUUCUCUUUUCCUUCCUUCCUCCCUCUCCUCUUUCUUUCUUUCUUUCUUUUUUUUUUUUUUUUUUGUAGAGACAGGGUUUCACCAUGUUGACUAAGCUGGUCUCG